CCUGUCGGAGAGUUACACCGAUCAGGUGAGUGUCUACUAGAGGAGCUACCUUGGUGGCGAGACGGAUCAUGGGGAUUGCUACAAUAAGUAGAGCCAAACCAGAAUUCCAAUUUAGAGUCGUCUAAGUCAGCAGGGUCGUUAUUGAGAGAGGAAGAGUGGUCAAGGAAUGGAUUGUAGGGGAUGGAGAAGUUUACGAUAAGGUGAAC
rnacentral:lncRNA from 1 species